GGUAAAUGGACCACAGUGCAACAUGUAUAUCAAAUAUAUUCUAAUCUCAAGGUUCAUUUGAUGAAGUAUAAUGAAAGUCUUAAAAUAGUUGUUCUUAGCUCAAGUUUGGAAUACAUUAGCAGAUCAGGAGAAAAGAACUAUGUAACUUGGAAAUUGCAAUGAACUUAUAUGGUGGGCUAAGUUGGGCCGAUGACAAGAAAGAAAAUGGCAGCUCACUUAAUUUACAUAAAGUCCAAAAUGAAUGAAGGGCCAAUAUCUCCCUUGUUUUGUUCGUGUGGGCCGAGAAUAAAAAAAAGAAACAAGAGAAGUCGGUUAAUCAUCAACAACUAUAUUAUAUAUUAUAUUACGAGAAUUGGGCAGGGGGAUCAUAAUAUUCGUAAGGUCGGUUUGUAAGGGAAUUGGAGGAGGUGUACGUGGGGGUGGCAGGCGAAAAAGACAAAGGAGGAGGGGUUUUGGUGGUCGGCUAGUAAGGAGACAAUAAUCUAUCAUCUUACGAAUUGGAGGCAUCAAAACUAUAUAUAAUUCGAGAGGUGCUUGUGGGUUUUUUGGGUCGAAUAAAAGAGGAGAGGAUCUCGUGGGUAAGUCCAGAGGAGGUCGACAGAAAGUGAAAGCCUUUUGGCUUAGUUUUCGAAUUAAGCAGCAUCAACAAAAGCAAAUUCUAGUUCGACUCUUUUCUCUUUUAUAUUCUUUUUAGUUGCUUAUUUGCAAGACUUAAUUACUAUAUAAUUAUUAUUAUGGAUUUUAUUUA